rnacentral:rRNA from 1 species
AGAUACCCGGGUAGUCCACGCCCUAAACGAUGUGCACUAGAUUGGAGCGGUUUUGACGCCGUUCUGGUCGGAGAGAAAUUGUUAAGUGCACCGCCUGGGGAGUACGGUCGCAAGGCUAAAACUCAAAGGAAUUGACGGGGGCUCACACAAGCGGUGGAGCAUGUUGCUUAAUUCGAAGCAACGCGAAGAACCUUACCUGGGUUGAACUACGACGAAUUAGCUCAUGGAAACAUGAGUGACGCCCUUGGGUGGAACGUCGAUAGGUGCUGCAUGGCCGCCGUCAG